rnacentral:lncRNA from 1 species
GGUAUUAAUUUGAUUUAUUGUUUGUACAGAGCUCUUUGUCCAGAAGUGGCCUGUUGCAAUAGGUGGCUAUGGUCAUUUUUAAACACUAGCGCAUCUACCAACAAGAGUGUAAAUAUAUUUUUACUUUUGCCUUUAAAAACAGUCUUUGUUUUAACACGUGGAAUAACUUAUGCUAAAUAUUAUUUUAAGAUUCCGAGAUCUUUGGUAUUUAUUGCCUGUUGGUAUACAUUUGGUAUUCAUUUAUUUUCUACACACUGCAGGUCAAACAGCCCCACUGAGAGCUUUGACAGGAUCUGUAACAGCUUACAGCCUGCCAAUUCAGAGAAGUUUGUACCAAGCAAUUUGCCCAAGAGGAACAGACUGUUGCACUUUAUCACUGUAUGCUGUCAUCAAGAACCAGAUUACAGACCACAUGCUGCAGAAAGGGCAGACCUUCUAAAUGGGAUUUUGAUGAGUAUAAGUAAGUUGGAAAUUUCCACCAUCUACAAUCUGAUGCAUGCAGAGCAAUUAAUGCAUGCAAAGGUUCAGAAGUAUACACAUUGCAGACAGGCCUACAGAACUCAGAGGUCAUCUGUCAAUAAAAAUUCAGCCAAGUAAUGAGCAGGAAAAUCCCUCCUGUAGUACCAAGUUCGCCACCUAUUCUACUUGGUAGCAGUACAAAUAUUGCAGGAAGAGAAAAUAUUCUUGAGGCUGAUCUGACAGGUCUUAUCGCACAGGACUCAACAAAGAAAGGUCUCUGCCUUCAAACAUAUUCAGCUCAACUACACCAAGGAAAAUUACUACUAUUUGUUCCACAUACACAUGUAUUUUUCAAGUACAGUUGUCCAUUUUUAGAGCUUUGCUCUCUAUUGGUAUCAUUCAGAGCAUGAGCUCACUGCAGAAGUGCUUUUUCUGUAUUCCUCAUACCUUUGGAAACAGAAGUUGAGCCACAGGAAAUCAACUCACUUAUAAUAACAUCUGCAUUUCCAAGCAUUUUACUUCUUAUCAAUAGCUGCCAGACUUAGAAUAGAAUUUUCUGGAACUUCAGAAACAAAUUCAUAUAGAAUUCCUGAAAAACACAGAAGCAUGUUGUAAUAUAUGCCAAAAUCUUCCCAGGAAAAGUGUCCUAUUAUCAAGUGCCCAAAGAACAGCUAGUAAGAAAAAGGUGCUC